UACAGAGGUGGCAAGCGUUGUUCGGAAUUACUGGGCGUAAAGGGCGCGUAGGCGGUCUUGUAAGUCUCGUGUGAAAUCCCUCGGCUUAACUGAGGAACUGCACGGGAUACUGCAUGACUUGAGAUCGGGAGAGGGAAGCGGAAUUCCGGGUGUAGCGGUGAAAUGCGUAGAUAUCUGGAGGAACACCGGUGGCGAAGGCGGCAUCCUGGACCAAUACUGACGCUGAGGAGCGAAAGCCAGGGGAGCAAACGGG
rnacentral:rRNA from 1 species